rnacentral:rRNA from 1 species
AUUGAACGCUGGCGGCAUGCCUUACACAUGCAAGUCGAGCGGAGCGGCGGACGGGUGAGUAAUGACUAGGAAUCUGCCUGGUAGCGGGGGAUAACUCCGGGAAACGGGCGCUAAUACCGCAUACUAUCAGAUGAGCCUAGGUCGGAUUAGCUCGUUGGUGGGGUAAAGGCCUACCAAGGCGACGAUCCGUAACUGGUCUGAGAGGAUGAUCAGGCACACUGGGACUGAGACACGGUCCAGACUCCUACGGGAGGCAGCAGGGGGGAAUAUUGGACAAUGGGGGAAACCCUGAUCCAGCCAUGCCGCGUGUGUGAAGAAGGUCUUCGGAUUAUAAAGCACUUUAGGUUGGGAGGCGGUACCAACAGAAUAAGCACCGGCUAACUUCGUGCCAGCAGCCGCGGUAAUAC